CAUUCACGGAGAGUUUGAUCCUGGCUCAGGACGAACGCUGGCGGCGUGCUUAACACAUGCAAGUCGAACGAUGAACCACUUCGGUGGGGAUUAGUGGCGAACGGGUGAGUAACACGUGGGCAAUCUGCCCUUCACUCUGGGACAAGCCCUGGAAACGGGGUCUAAUACCGGAUAACACCUUCCCUCUCCUGAGGGAGGGUUAAAAGCUCCGGCGGUGAAGGAUGAGCCCGCGGCCUAUCAGCUUGUUGGUGAGGUAAUGGCUCACCAAGGCGACGACGGGUAGCCGGCCUGAGAGGGCGACCGGCCACACUGGGACUGAGACACGGCCCAGACUCCUACGGGAGGCAGCAGUGGGGAAUAUUGCACAAUGGGCGAAAGCCUGAUGCAGCGACGCCGCGUGAGGGAUGACGGCCUUCGGGUUGUAAACCUCUUUCAGCAGGGA
rnacentral:rRNA from 1 species